ensembl:miRNA Mir449b microRNA 449b
AGACUCGGGUAGGCAGUGUGUUGUUAGCUAACAGCCAGCUAACAACAGGCCAGCAGCCACAGCUACUCUGCCACUUCCUUCUGGC